rnacentral:rRNA from 1 species
AUUGAACGCUGGCGGCAUGCCUUACACAUGCAAGUCGAACGGUAACAGGUCUUCGGAUGCUGACGAGUGGCGAACGGGUGAGUAAUACAUCGGAACGUGCCUAGUAGUGGGGGAUAACUACUCGAAAGAGUGGCUAAUACCGCAUGAGAUCUACGGAUGAAAGCAGGGGAUCGCAAGACCUUGCGCUACUAGAGCGGCCGAUGGCAGAUUAGGUAGUUGGUGGGAUAAAAGCUUACCAAGCCGACGAUCUGUAGCUGGUCUGAGAGGACGAUCAGCCACACUGGGACUGAGACACGGCCCAGACUCCUACGGGAGGCAGCAGUGGGGAAUUUUGGACAAUGGGCGCAAGCCUGAUCCAGCAAUGCCGCGUGCAGGAUGAAGGCCUUCGGGUUGUAAACUGCUUUUGUACGGAACGAAAAGCCCUGGGUUAAUACCCUGGGGUCAUGACGGUACCGUAAGAAUAAGCACCGGCUAACUACGUGCCAGCAGCCGCAGUAA